rnacentral:rRNA from 1 species
CAGCAGCCGCGGUAAUACGGAGGGGGCUGGCGUUGUUCGGAAUUACUGGGCGUAAAGCGUACGUAGGCGGCUUUGUAAGUUAGAGGUGAAAGCCCGGUGCUCAACACCAGAACUGCCUUUAAGACUGCAUCGCUUGAACGUCGGAGAGGUGAGUGGAAUUCCGAGUGUAGAGGUGAAAUUCGUAGAUAUUCGGAAGAACACCAGUGGCGAAGGCGGCUCACUGGACGACUGUUGACGCUGAGGUACGAAAGCGUGGGGAGCAAACAGGAUUAGAUACCCCAGUAGUCCCUGUCUCUUAUAC